rnacentral:rRNA from 1 species
UGGGGGAUAUUGCACAAUGGGGGGAACCCUGAUGCAGCGACGCCGCGUGAGUGAAGGAGUGCUUCGGCAUGUAAAGCUCUGUCAGCAGGGAAGAAACAGGCGGAAGGCCUGGGGACGGUACCUGAAGAAGAAGCCCCGGCUAACUACGUGCCAGCAGCCGCGGUAAUACGUAGGGGGCAAGCGUUAUCCGGAUUUACUGGGUGUAAAGGGAGCGUAGACGGCGUAGCAAGUCCGGAGUGAAAGCCCACGGCCUAACUGUGGGACUGCUCUGGAAACUGCAGCGCUAGAGUGCAGGAGGGGUAAGUGGAAUUCCUGGUGUAGCGGUGAAAUGCGUAGAUAUCAGGAGGAACACCAGUGGCGAAGGCGGCUUACUGGACUGUAACUGACGUUGAGGCUCGAAAGCGUGGGGAGCAAACAGG